AUGGUUGGAUGAAAAAUCUACUUUCUUUAUUUUAUAAAUAAAAAUUAAUUUUUGGAUAAAAAAGUCUAAAUUUUGUUAUAGGACGAGAAGACCCUAUAGAACUUUAUUCCAUUUUUAAUAUUUAUUUACUUGUAAAUAAUUUUUUUUUAUUAAAAAUGGAAUUUUGUUGGGGUGACAAAAAAAAUUAUAUAACUUUUUUUAUUUAUUUCAUUUAUAUAUGAUUUAUUGAUCCUUUAUUAGGAAAAAAGAUUAAGUUACCUUAGGGAUAACAGCGUUAUUGUUUUGGAGAGUUCAUAUUGAUAAAAUAGUUUGCGACCUCGAUGUUGGAUUAAAAUUAGUCUUAGGGGCAGAAUACUAAUGACUAG
rnacentral:rRNA from 1 species